CCUACGGGUGGCUGCAGUGAGGAAUAUUGGUCAAUGGACGGAAGUCUGAACCAGCCAUGCAGCGUGAAGGAAGACGGCUCUAUGAGUUGUAAACUUCUUUUGUACAAGGAUAAAACUGAGUACGUGUAUUCAGCUGAAAGUACUGUACGAAUAAGGAUCGGCUAACUCCGUGCCAGCAGCCGCGGUAAUACGGAGGAUCCAAGCGUUAUCCGGAUUUAUUGGGUUUAAAGGGUGCGUAGGUGGAUUGAUAAGUUAGAUGUGAAAUGUUCGAGCUUAACUGGGGAACUGCAGCUAAUACUGGUGAUCUAGAGAGUAGAUGCGGUAGGCGGAAUGUAUGGUGUAGCGGUGAAAUGCUUAGAGAUCAUACAGAACACCGAUUGCGAAGGCAGCUUACCAAUCUAUAUCUGACGUUGAGGCACGAAAGCGUGGGGAGCAAACAGGAUUAGAUACCCGAGUAGUC
rnacentral:rRNA from 1 species